UAUGACAUGGGGUGCAAUGCCAUGGAGUGGCAAUCACCAUUGGAGUAUGAGGACCAUUUCAAUAGUUGGAAUUAUGAAAAUUCUUAUUCCACUCAAGAAGGCUUUCAAGGGGGAAAUCGGUACUAUCAAGAGGAGAAACCGAAUGUUAGAGACGAUCUUCUACAAUGCUUCAUAGCUACACAAGCUUGGAUAGAAAAAAGUAUAGCAAACUCGGAUGUUAUGCUAGAUGAGCAAAGAAGGUCUUUGGCUACCACUAUGAAAAAUCAAAAACGAAUUGAUGAUUUGUGCAUAGCCAUUAGCCUACAAAAUGGAACCUUGUAUGAGGACCAAUGCCAAUGCUAAGUGAAG
rnacentral:lncRNA from 1 species